rnacentral:rRNA from 1 species
CCUACGGGAGGCUGCAGUGGGGAAUAUUGGGCAAUGGGCGCAAGCCUGACCCAGCAACGCCGCGUGAAGGAAGAAGGCUUUCGGGUUGUAAACUUCUUUUGUCAGGGACGAAGCAAGCGACGGUACCUGACUAAUAAGCCACGGCUAACUACGUGCCAGCAGCCGCGGUACUACGUAGGUGGCAAGCGUUAUCCGGCUUUACUGGGUGUAAAGGGCGUGUAGGCGGGGCUGCAAGUCAGUUGUGAAAACCACGGGCUCAACCUGUAGCCUUUAUUUGAAACUGUAGUUCUUGAGUACUGGAGAGGCAGACGGAAUUCCUAGUGUAGCGGUGAAAUGCGUAGAUAUUAGGAGGAACACCAGUUGCGAAGGCGGUCUGCUGGACAGCAACUGACGCUGAGGCGCGAAAGCGUGGGGAGCAAACAGGAUUAGAUACCCCAGUAGUC